GAGAAAUACCCAAGUGGUUGAAGGGGUCGGUCUUGAAAACCGAUAGGGGGUGCAAGCCCCGCGAGGGUUCGAAUCCCUCUUUCUCC
rnacentral:tRNA from 1 species